AGAGUUUGAUCAUGGCUCAGGAUGAACGCUAGCUACAGGCUUAACACAUGCAAGUCGAGGGGCAUCAGUUUGGUUUGCUUGCAAACCAAAGCUGGCGACCGGCGCACGGGUGAGUAACACGUAUCCAACCUGCCUCAUACUCGGGGAUAGCCUUUCGAAGAAAGAUUAAUAUCCGAUAGCAUAUAUUUCCCGCAUGGGUUUUAUAUUAAAGAAGUUCGGUAUGAGAUGGGGAUGCGUUCCAUUAGUUUGUUGGCGGGGUAACGGCCACAGACUACGAUGGAUAGGGGUUCUGAGAGGAAGGUCCCCCANAUUGGAACUGAGACACGGUCCAAACUCCUACGGGAGGCA
rnacentral:rRNA from 1 species